rnacentral:rRNA from 1 species
AGAACGAACGCUGGCGGCAUGCCUAACACAUGCAAGUCGAACGUGAUCCGGGCUUCGGCCUGGUGAAAGUGGCAGACGGGUGAGUAACGCGUGGGAACCUGCCCUGUGGUAGGGAAUAACCGCGGGAAACUGCGGCUAAUACCCUAUGAGUCCUUCGGGAGAAAGAUUUAUCGCCAUAGGAGGGGCCCGCGUCGGAUUAGGUAGUUGGUGGGGUAACGGCCUACCAAGCCUUCGAUCCGUAGCUGGUCUGAGAGGAUGAUCAGCCACACUGGGACUGAGAUACGGCCCAGACUCCUACGGGAGGCAGCAGUGGGGAAUAUUGGACAAUGGGGGCAACCCUGAUCCAGCAAUGCCGCGUGGGUGAUGAAGGCCUUCGGGUUGUAAAGCCCUUUCGGCGGGGAAGAUGAUGACGGUACCCGCAGAAGAGCCCGGACUAACUUCGCGCCAGCAGCCGC